AGAGUUUGAUCAUGGCUCAGAACGAACGCUGGCGGCAGGCUUAACACAUGCAAGUCGAACGCAUCCUUCGGGGUGAGUGGCAGACGGGUGAGUAACGCGUGGGAACGUGCCCUUCAGUUCGGGAUAACCCAGGGAAACUUGGGCUAAUACCGGAUACGUGCGAGAGCAGAAAGAUUUAUCGCUGAAGGAUCGGCCCGCGUCUGAUUAGCUAGUUGGUGGGGUAAUGGCCCACCAAGGCGACGAUCAGUAGCUGGUCUGAGAGGAUGAUCAGCCACAUUGGGACUGAGACACGGCCCAAACUCCUACGGGAGGCAGCAGUGGGGAAUAUUGGACAAUGGGCGCAAGCCUGAUCCAGCCAUGCCGCGUGAGUGAUGAAGGCCUUAGGGUUGUAAAGCUCUUUCGUCCGGGACGAUAAUGACGGUACCGGAAGAAGAAGCCCCGGCUAACUUCGUGCCAGCAGCCGCGGUAAUACGAAGGGGGCUAGCGUUGUUCGGAAUCACUGGGCGUAAAGGGCGCGUAGGCGGCUUUGUAAGUCGGGGGUGAAAGCCUAUGGCUCAACCACAGAAUUGCCUUCGAUACUGCAUGGCUUGAGACCGGAAGAGGUAAGUGGAACUGCGAGUGUAGAGGUGAAAUUCGUAGAUAUUCGCAAGAACACCAGUGGCGAAGGCGGCUUACUGGUCCGGUUCUGACGCUGAGGCGCGAAAGCGUGGGGAGCAAACAGGAUUAGAUACCCUAGUAGUCC
rnacentral:rRNA from 1 species